rnacentral:rRNA from 1 species
CCUACGGGAGGCAGCAGUCGGGAAUCUUCCACAAUGGGCGAAACCCUGAUGGAGCAACGCCGCGUGGGUGAAGAAGGUCUUCGGAUCGUAAAACCCUGUUGUUAGAGAAGAAAGUGCGUGAGAGUAACUGUUCACGUUUCGACGGUAUCUACCCAGAAAGCCACGGCUAACUACGUGCCAGCAGCCGCGGUAAUACGUAGGUGGCAAGCGUUAUCCGGAUUUAUUGGGCGUAAAGGGAACGCGGGCGGUCUUUUAAGUCUGAUGUGAAAGCCUUCGGCUUAACCGGAGUAGUGCAUUGGAAACUGGGAGACGUGAGUGCAGAAGAGGAGAGUGGAACUCCAUGUGUAGCGGUGAAAUGCGUAGAUAUAUGGAAGAACACCAGUGGCGAAAGCGGCUCUCUGGUCUGUAACUGACGCUGAGGUUCGAAAGCGUGGGUAGCAAACAGGAUUAGAUACCCUGGUAGUC